GGGAGGUAGUGACAAUAAAUAACAAUACGGGGUUCUUUCGGAUCUCGUAAUUGGAAUGAGUACAAUUUAAAUCUCUUAACGAGGAACAAUUGGAGGGCGAGUCUGGUGCCAGCAGCCGCGGUAAUUCCAGCUCCAAUAGCGUAUAUUAAAGUUGUUGCAGUUAAAAAGCUCGUAGUUGAAUUUCGGAGUUAGCAGGUCGGUCGUGCCACUGGUACGUACUGGUCUUGCUGAUUCCUCCCUCUUGAGGAGCCGUAAUGCCAUUAAUUUGGUGUUGCGGGGAAUUUGGACUGUUACUUUGAAAAAAUUAGAGUGUUUAAAGCAAGCUAACGCUUGAAUACAUUAGCAUGGAAUAAUGAAAUAGGACGUUCGAUCCUAUUUUGUUGGUUUCUAGGAUUGACGUAAUGAUUAAUAGGGAUAGUGGGG
rnacentral:rRNA from 1 species